GAUGAACGCUAGCGGAAGGCCUAAUACAUGCAAGUCGAACGGGCAUAUUGAUUUCGGUUAAUAUGUUAGUGGCGCACGGGUGAGUAACGCGUACACAACCUACCUUAUAUUGGGGGAUAGCCCCUGGGGAAACUGGGAGUAAUACCGCAUAACAUUAUAGAGAGGCAUCUUUUUANAAUUAAAGCAUUUGCGAUAUAAGAUGGGUGUGCGUCUGAUUAGGUAGUUGGUAGGGUAACGGCCUACCAAGCCGACGAUCAGUAGGGGGUGUGAGAGCAUGGCCCCCCACACGGGUACUGAGACACGGACCCGACUCCUACGGGAGGCAGCAGUAAGGAUAUGGUCAAUGGAGGCAACUCUGAACCAGCCAUUCCGCGUGAA
rnacentral:rRNA from 1 species